ACAGCAGUAGACUCCUAGGCGGAUCCGCCUUCAAGACGCCAAACCCGCGUGACUGUCGCAUUCGUUUUGGUGCCGCACAGAGGAUCAGCUCCGCCUCCAGGCGGCCCCGUAAAUUCUACUGUCAAACAGCGGAUCCUGAGUGGACCCAUGUCGGAUCCGCGGGCGCGGACGCGCAUUUACUGUAACGGUUGAACAUGACUGUACACCAAGAGCCAAGAAGAGUCAUACUAGUGGAUAUUUUCUUUGCUGGGACACGGUUGCGCUGAACCCUCUCGACCAUCGUUUCGGGGACUCUGAUGACAGUGAAGAGACAGAAAAUGGUGGCUGCAUCUCUGAGGUACCUUCCAACUCGCCUGGUAUAUCAGUUGAAGCCUCAAGCCCAAGCCAAUUGCACUGGCAAACUCCACCAUCUCGCCGAGUGCCAGGCAGCCGAGUCACUACCCCUCAAC